GCCUACUUUUUAUGUCCAUUCCUACGGCUGCAGGGCCAUGUCCUGUGAUUGGCAGCUCCUCAGAACCACAUGGAGUGGAAGAGCUGUUCCUAGAAAUAGGGUGCUUGUUAUUCUGAGAGGACAAGAAUGACAGCCACGUCAUCUGGAGAAGGCAGCCAGGGAAGUUGUUGGCCAAGCUUUGCUGGCUUUUUUGCAGCUUUCUGUUCCAGCAAGUUACUCCCCCAAAUCCUACCUAUUUUAAAAGCAACUCUCACAGGAAGAAAGGCUUGGCAGCCAACAGAUGACCACCACAUUCUCUCCCCCAAGACGUCUGAUUUCAGAAGGCAAAAAUUCAAGAAUGAAUAUUUACUGCCUAUAUCUGAUAGAAGAAUCCCAUUUCUCAUGAGAAAAUCAAUGGAUAAUACUCAGCGUUUCUUCAAAACCAAAACUUCCUUUAUCAAAACCUGUAGAACACAGGUUUCAGCAAACUUCGUUAAAUAUUCAGAUCAAAUUUGGAUUUGUUAUUGAUUUUCAGGGGGAUUAAUCUCUUUUAUAUUAAAAGCUCAUUUGGUCACAA
rnacentral:lncRNA from 1 species